rnacentral:rRNA from 1 species
AUUGAACGCUGGCGGCAUGCUUUACACAUGCAAGUCGAACGGUAACAGGCCGCCAGGUGCUGACGAGUGGCGAACGGGUGAGUAAUGCAUCGGAACGUGCCCAGUCGUGGGGGAUAACUACUCGAAAGAGUAGCUAAUACCGCAUACGAUCUAUGGAUGAAAGCGGGGGACCGUAAGGCCUCGCGCGAUUGGAGCGGCCGAUGUCAGAUUAGGUAGUUGGUGGGGUAAAGGCUCACCAAGCCAACGAUCUGUAGCUGGUCUGAGAGGACGACCAGCCACACUGGGACUGAGACACGGCCCAGACUCCUACGGGAGGCAGCAGCGGGGAAUUUUGGACAAUGGGCGCAAGCCUGAUCCAGCAAUGCCGCGUGCAGGAAGAAGGCCUUCGGGUUGUAAACUGCUUUUGUACGGAACGAAACGGCUCUGGUUAAUACCCGGGGCUAAUGACGGUACCGUAAGAAUAAGCACCGGCUAACUACGUG